rnacentral:rRNA from 1 species
ACAGUGGACGCGAGCAUCUGUGGCCAAGUUUUUAAGGGCGCACGGUGGAUGCCUUGGCACCAGGAACCGAUGAAGGACGUGGGAGGCCACGAUAGUCCCCGGGGAGUCGUCAACCAGGCUUUGAUCCGGGGGUUUCCGAAUGGGGAAACCCGGCAGUCGUCAUGGGCUGUCACCCGCUGCUGAACACAUAGGCAGUGUGGAGGGAACGCGGGGAAGUGAAACAUCUCAGUACCCGCAGGAAGAGAAAACAACCGUGAUUCCGGGAGUAGUGGCGAGCGAAACCGGAUGAGGCCAAACCGUAUACGUGUGAGACCCGGCAGGGGUUGCGUAUGCGGGGUUGUGGGAUCUCUCUUUCACAGUCUGCCGGCUGUGAGACGAGUCAGAAACCGUUGAUGUAGGCGAAGGACAUGCGAAAGGUCCGGCGUAGAGGGUAAGACCCCCGUAGUCGAAACAUCAGCGGCUCGUUUGAGAGACACCCAAGUAGCACGGGGCCCGAGAAAUCCCGUGUGAAUCUGGCGGGACCACCCGUUAAGCCUAAAUAUUCCCUGGUGACCGAUAGCGGAUAGUACCGUGAGGGAAUGGUGAAAAGUACCGCGGGAGCGGAGUGAAAUAGUACCUGAAACCGUGUGCCUACAAGCCGUGGGAGCGUCGCGCAUCAAGCUUGCUUGGUGCGUCGUGACUGCGUGCCUUUUGAAGAAUGAGCCUGCGAGUUUGCGGUGUGUUGCGAGGUUAACCCGUGUGGGGAAGCCGUAGCGAAAGCGAGUCCGAAUAGGGCGGUUUAGUAGCGCGCUCAAGACCCGAAGCGGAGUGAUCUAGCCAUGGGCAGGUUGAAGCGGCUGUAAGAGGUCGUGGAGGACCGAACCCACCAGGGUUGAAAACCUGGGGGAUGACCUGUGGUUAGGGGUGAAAGGCCAAUCAAACUCCGUGAUAGCUGGUUCUCCCCGAAAUGCAUUUAGGUGCAGCGUCGUGUGUUUCUUGCCGGAGGUAGAGCACUGGAUAGGCGAUGGGCCCUACCGGGUUACUGACCUUAGCCAAACUCCGAAUGCCGGUAAGUGAGAGCACGGCAGUGAGACUGUGGGGGAUAAGCUCCAUGGUCGAGAGGGAAACAGCCCAGAGCAUCGACUAAGGCCCCUAAGCGUACGCUAAGUGGGAAAGGAUGUGGAGUCGCACAGACAACCAGGAGGUUGGCUUAGAAGCAGCCACCCUUGAAAGAGUGCGUAAUAGCUCACUGGUCUAGUGAUUCCGCGCCGACAAUGUAGCGGGGCUCAAGCGUACCGCCGAAGUCGUGUCAUUCACACAAUAGGGCCAACGCCUGUGUGGAUGGGUAGGGGAGCGUCGUGUGCCGGGUGAAGCUGCGCCGGAAGGCAGUGGUGGACGGUUCACGAGUGAGAAUGCAGGCAUGAGUAGCGAUACAUACGUGAGAAACGUGUGCGCCGAUUGACUAAGGGUUCCUGGGUCAAGCUGAUCUGCCCAGGGUAAGUCGGGACCUAAGGCGAGGCCGACAGGCGUAGUCGAUGGAUAACCGGUUGAUAUUCCGGUACCCGCUGUGAAGCGUCAAACAUCGAGCCCAUUAAUGCUAAGGCCGUGAAGCCGCCCUGAUCUCUUCGGAGUUGAGGGGAGUGGUGGAGCCGCUGACCCAAGGUGGUAGUAGGUGAGUGAUGGGGUGACGCAGGAAGGUAGUCCAGCCCGGGCGGUGGUUGUCCCGGGGUAAGGGUGUAGGCCGUGUGAUAGGUAAAUCCGUCGCACAUUAAGGCUGAGACCUGAUGCCGAGCCGAUUGUGGUGAAGUGGAUGAUCCUAUGCUGUCGAGAAAAGCCUCUAGCGAGUUUCAUGGCGGCCCGUACCCUAAACCGACUCAGGUGGUCAGGUAGAGAAUACCGAGGCGUUCGGGUGAACUAUGGUUAAGGAACUCGGCAAAAUGCCCCCGUAACUUCGGGAGAAGGGGGGCCAUCACUGGUGAUCCGUUUUACACGGUGAGCUGGGGGUGGCCGCAGAGACCAGCGAGAAGCGACUGUUUACUAAAAACACAGGUCCGUGCGAAGCCGUAAGGCGAUGUAUACGGACUGACGCCUGCCCGGUGCUGGAACGUUAAGGGGACCGGUUAGUGCACUUUCGGGUGUGCGAAGCUGAGAACUUAAGCGCCAGUAAACGGCGGUGGUAACUAUAACCAUCCUAAGGUAGCGAAAUUCCUUGUCGGGUAAGUUCCGACCUGCACGAAUGGCGUAACGACUUCUCGACUGUCUCAACCAUAGGCCCGGUGAAAUUGCACUACGAGUAAAGAUGCUCGUUUCGCGCAGAAGGACGGAAAGACCCCGGGACCUUUACUAUAGUUUGAUAUUGGUGUUCGGUUCGGCUUGUGUAGGAUAGGUGGGAGACUUUGAAGCGGGCACGCCAGUGUUCGUGGAGUCGCCGUUGAAAUACCACUCUGGUCGUGCUGGAUGUCUAACCUCGGUCCGUGAUCCGGAUCAGGGACAGUGUCUGAUGGGUAGUUUAACUGGGGCGGUUGCCUCCCAAAGAGUAACGGAGGCGCCCAAAGGUUCCCUCAGCCUGGUUGGUAAUCAGGUGUUGAGUGUAAGUGCACAAGGGAGCUUGACUGUGAGACCGACGGGUCGAGCAGGGACGAAAGUCGGGACUAGUGACCCGGCGGUGGCUUGUGGAAGCGCCGUCGCUCAACGGAUAAAAGGUACCCCGGGGAUAACAGGCUGAUCUUCCCCAAGAGUCCAUAUCGACGGGAUGGUUUGGCACCUCGAUGUCGGCUCGUCGCAUCCUGGGGCUGGAGUCGGUCCCAAGGGUUGGGCUGUUCGCCCAUUAAAGCGGUACGCGAGCUGGGUUUAGAACGUCGUGAGACAGUUCGGUCCCUAUCCUCUGUGCGCGUAGGAAUAUUGAGAAGGGCUGUCCCUAGUACGAGAGGACCGGGACGGACGAACCUCUGGUGUGCCAGUUGUCCUGCCAAGGGCAUGGCUGGUUGGCUACGUUCGGAAAGGAUAACCGCUGAAAGCAUCUAAGCGGGAAGCCUGCUUCGAGAUGAGUAUUCCCACCCCCUUUGAGGGGUUAAGGCUCCCAGUAGACGACUGGGUUGAUAGGCCAGAUCUGGAAGCCCGGUAACGGGUGGAGGUGACUGGUACUAAUAGGCCGAGGGCUUGUCCUCAGUUG